GUAACAGUCAGAAAUGGCUGCUAAUACCGCAUAAGCGCACAGGAUUGCAUGAUCUGGUGUGAAAAACUACCGGUGGUAUAAGAUGGACCCGCGUCUGAUUAGCUGGUUGGUGAGGUAACGGCCCACCAAGGCGACGAUCAGUAGCCGACCUGAGAGGGUGACCGGCCACAUUGGGACUGAGACACGGCCCAAACUCCUACGGGAGGCAGCAUG
rnacentral:rRNA from 1 species